rnacentral:misc_RNA from 1 species
GAUUUGUUAAAACACCUUGCGGUCUGGCAACUGCAAGAGUCAAACAAGAAAUC